rnacentral:rRNA from 1 species
AUUGAACGCUGGCGGAAUGCUUUACACAUGCAAGUCGAGCGGCAGCACGGGGGCAACCCUGGUGGCGAGCGGCGAACGGGUGAGUAAUACAUCGGAACAUGCCCAGUCGUGGGGGAUAACACUUCGAAAGAAGUGCUAAUACCGCAUACGUCCUGAGGGGGAAAGCGGGGGAUCGCAAGACCUCGCGCGAUUGGAGUGGCCGAUGUCAGAUUAGCUAGUUGGUGGGGUAAAGGCCUACCAAGGCAACGAUCUGUAGCUGGUCUGAGAGGAUGAUCAGCCACACUGGGACUGAGACACGGCCCAGACUCCUACGGGAGGCAGCAGUGGGGAAUUUUGGACAAUGGGGGCAACCCUGAUCCAGCCAUUCCGCGUGAGUGAAGAAGGCCUUCGGGUUGUAAAGCUCUUUCGGCAGGAACGAAACGGUGAGCUCUGACAUAGCUUGCUAAUGACGGUACCUGAAGAAGAAGCACCGGCUAACUACGUG